GUUUGGUAAAGAAGUGGAUGAUCAUUUCAAUGCUUAAUUUAUAACAAAAAUACUUUUUGCCAUGUGUUGUUUAUGAUUAGCCUACAGUGUUAUUUGUGAUUUAAAUUAAUUAUUAAUUAGAUUAUAUUAUAUUAAAAAUAUUAUUAUCAAAUUCUGUUAGAAACUCAUGUGCACAUAUUCAACGAUGUAGAUGCCCUUAUGAAAUGAUAGGUAUUAGCUGGUUAAUGAUAGGUGGCUUAGGGCCUGUCUGUUUCUCCAUCUGGAUGAGCCAUUUGGAUGAAGAUGAGAGUUUUGUUUGUUUAAGCACUAAAAGUGCAACUCAUUCAGAUGGAUCAUCCGGAUG
rnacentral:lncRNA from 1 species